CAGUAGCCACGGUAAUACGAAGGGGGCUAGCGUUGCUCGGAUUUACUGGGCGCAAAGGGCGCGUAGGCGGGCUGAUAAGUCAGGGGUGAAAUCCCAAGGCUCAACCUUGGAACUGCCUUUGAUACUGUUUGUCUUGAGUUCGAGAGAGGUAAGUGGAACUGCGAGUGUAGAGGUGAAAUUCGUAGAUAUUCGCAAGAACACCAGUGGCGAAGGCGGCUUACUGGCUCGAUACUGACGCUGAGGCGCGAAAGCGUGGGGAGCAAACAGGAUUAGAUACCCCGGUAGUCCCUGUCUCUUAUAU
rnacentral:rRNA from 1 species